rnacentral:pre_miRNA from 1 species
UAUAUACUUCCUCCAUUCGGAAUUACUUAUCUCGGAUAUGGAUGUAUCUAGAACUAAAAUACGUCUAGAUACAUCCAUUUCCGCGACAAGUAAUUCCGAACGGAGGGAGUAGUUG